GCAGUCGCCACGGUAAUACGAAGGGUGCAAGCGUUAAUCGGAAUUACUGGGCGUAAAGCGUGCGUAGGCGGUUUGUUAAGUCUGCUGUGAAAUCCCCGGGCUCAACCUGGGAAUGGCAGUGGAUACUGGCAAGCUAGAGUGUGUCAGAGGAUGGUGGAAUUCCCGGUGUAGCGGUGAAAUGCGUAGAGAUCGGAAGGAACAUCUGUGGCGAAGGCGACUAUCUGGGCCAACACUGACACUGAGACACGAAAGCGUGGGGAGCAAACAGGAUUAGAUACCCGUGUAGUCCCUGUCUCUUAUAC
rnacentral:rRNA from 1 species